rnacentral:rRNA from 1 species
CCUACGGGAGGCAGCAGUGAGGAAUAUUGGUCAAUGGGCGAGAGCCUGAACCAGCCAAGUCGCGUGAGGGAGUACUGCCCUAUGGGUUGUAAACCUCUUUUGUCGGGGAGCAAAAGCCGGACGUGUCCGGCUGUGAGAGUACCCUAAGAAAAAGCAUCGGCUAACUCCGUGCCAGCAGCCGCGGUAAUACGGAGGAUGCGAGCGUUAUCCGGAUUUAUUGGGUUUAAAGGGUGCGCAGGCGGAUUUUUAAGUCAGCGGUAAAAUCGUGGGGCUCAACCCCAUCCAGCCGUUGAAACUGGGGAUCUAGAGUGUGCGAGAGGUAUGCGGAAUGCGUGGUGUAGCGGUGAAAUGCAUAGAUAUCACGCAGAACCCCGAUUGCGAAGGCAGCAUACCGGUGCACAACUGACGCUCAGGCACGAAAGCGUGGGUAUCGAACAGGAUUAGAGACCCUUGUAGUC